UGCGAAGGCAGCUUUCUGGAUCAUUACUGACACUGAGGAACGAAAGCAUGGGUAGCGAAGAGGAUUAGAUACCCUCGUAGUCCAUGCCGUAAACGAUGUGUGUUAGACGUUGGAAAUUUAUUUUCAGUGUCGCAGCGAAAGCGAUAAACACACCGCCUGGGGAGUACGACCGCAAGGUUAAAACUCAAAUGAAUUGACGGGGACCCGCACAAGUAGUGGAGCAUGUGGUUUAAUUCGAAGAUACGCGCAGAACCUUACCAACACUUGACAUGUUCGUCGCGACUUUAAGAGAUUAAAGUUUUCGGUUCGGCCGGACGAAACACAGGUGCUGCAUGGCUGUCGUCAGCUCGUGUCGUGAGAUGUUGGGUUAAGUCCCGCAACGAGCGCAACCCUCACUUUUAGUUGCCAUCAUUAAGUUGGGCACUCUGAAAGAACUGCCAGUGAUAAGCUGGAGGAAGGUGGGGAUGACGUCAAGUCCUCAUGGCCCUUACGUGUUGGGCUACACACGUGCUACAAUGGUAUCUACAACAGGAAGCAAGACGGCGACGUUAAGCAAAUCCUCAAAAGAUACCUCAGUUCGGAUUGCACUCUGCAACUCGAGUGCAUGAAGCUGGAAUUACUAGUAAUCGUGGAUCAGCGUGCCACGGUGAAUGCGUUCCCGGGUCUUGUACACACCGCCCGUCACACCAUGGGAGUUGGUUCUACCUUAAGGCAAGGUUUCAAACCCUUGACCACGGUAUAGUCAGCGACUGGGGUGAAGUCGUAACAAGGUAGCCGUAGGGGAACCUGCGGCUG
rnacentral:rRNA from 1 species